AAAAUGGUACAGACCAACCUCUUGCUGUAUAUUUUUUUUCUCCCUACUUCCUACUCAGACAGAAAUAUGGGGCCAUUUAUUUUUUAUGCAUAUAUUUAUGGAAACAUAUACUUUCUUAAUUAGCUAUUAUUUUAUUUUAAGAGGAUGCCAUCACCAUAAAAAUCAUACUAAAAUGUUAAAGUUGCCAGCUAGUAUUGAAAGAAUGAAAAUUAUUUAUAUCUCAUCAUUAGCAGUGUUUUGUUUUUCACUCAUCUUGGGGUAUGCAUGCUGAAAAUAGACCAGUAAGUUUCACUUCUGCUUAAGACUUUUUUAUUUUGCACUAGAACAAGGCCACUUUGAACAGGCUGCAAACACAGAAAAUUAUAUUUGCAGUAUAUUUACUAUGGAAUUAUGGAGUAAGAGCUGGUUCUGAAAGACUGUUCUGUAUAUUUUGAGUUUUACAAAACCAAAGACUUGGUAUUCUAUCAGAACACAGAGUUUUAAACCAUCAUCCAAAAGGCGUGGCCGGCUGCCUGUAGCUAUUUUAUUUCAUUGUACCAGAGGAAGGAAAACAAAGGUAAAGUGAAAUGUAUUUUAAAAUUCUCUCUGACUUCUGGUAUGUGUCUGUGUUGUGAGAUUGAGUGACGACAUGAGAAGUUCCACUGCCUUUGGAUGCUACCGCGUACAAGCUUGUACCUUGUUCAGAAUUAUCUAUGCUUCAGUCCAGAUUUCCUGGACUUUACACCAAGCAAAGCAGAUGGAGAAAACAUUACCUGAAAAGCACUGACAUCCAGCACAGACACUGAAAUGUUGAAUCCUGAAGACAUUUGCAUUUGUGCCUUUUCAGUUUGCUGCCCAACCUGUCUUCCUGCCUCCUUGUUCCUAUGGUGAGCACUCUCAACUGGAGACUCCUGAAUGUAUGACUGUUAUGGGAAAGAGAGAAUGAGGAAGCAAGGAGAGGUCAAAGGAAGUGUUUGAAGGGACCUAAAUUUAUUCUUUUGUUGGUGUAACUGUGGAAUGUAGGAGUGGUCAAUGAAAGUCAAAUUAUAACCGAAUGAACAUAGCUGGAAAAAAAAUGGGUUUGGUAAGAAUAGUUGUGAACACACGCUAUAUGUUCCUGGUUUGGAGAUUACCAAGCAUGCUGAAGUCUUGUUUAGUCAGGUCUUUAUGAUAUGUGAAUGCAACUGAUCACCUGUAUCCUGAGUAAACAAUGACACCAUGCACACAGCAUGUGGAAAUGCUGUAUGCAUGGCAAGCGGUGUAACUUCUGAUGCUGGUUGUGAGUUAAACCAGAGAAAGUAUUUUUGCUCGAACAGCAAAGGUGCUAUGUGGAUGGAGACAAAAUGUGUGGUUUGGACUGCAGUUUCAAAGCCUCUGUCACUAAGACCUAUUCCUGCCCUCAGUAUAAUUGUGGUAAAAACUACAGUGACCUCAUUGCUGUAACAGCUUAGUUCUGAGGACAAUAAGAAAUAUUAGUUAAUAUGCACUCAAACCAAUAUAACCAGUUUUAAUUCAACCAAUAUUAAUGUUUAUUAUUGCAUGUUCUGUUUACACAGUAGUCCAAACAAUUUUUAGAUGCUAAGCAGCAACAACAAGCCUUUUAAUUAUUAUUUUCUGUCAUUCACUGAGAAUUAUAUUCACUGAGAAUCAUGCUGGAAUGCAGAAGUCUAGUUGUAGAAAACCUUCUAGGAGAUACUGAAAAAUACUUUACAGACAUGACAGACUACACUGGUUCCAGUUGUCGGAGUCUGAUGCUCUUUGAAUGUCUCUAGCUAAGGCCUCCUCAAGCUCCUUAAUUCUAGUACCUUUAAUAACAGCUCCAGCUCUUGAAUCAGCUUGUAUCCACAUUCCAUCCUUGCAUAUCAGCUCCCCCAGAAAUGUGUUUUAAUCAAAGCCUCUUCUCAAAAAGAAAAAAAAAAAAAUUGGUCAUUUUUCUUUCAAAGAUAAUUGCCUACAUGUGGGCUGUAAAAUGUCACAUUACCAUACAAAGACCCUUUAAAAAAACACUGAGCCCUGUUGGAAACACAUUCUGUUAGGGUAUUCAACUGUCUUCUGUAUUUAAUAACAUUUAAACCUAAUUCUGGGAGUCUGAAAAUGCUUUAGCAGUGCCCAACUUAUAAGCCCUGUCUUGAGGUGGAAACAGAACACCCUUGUCAGGAGUACUUUGUCCCUGCCUUGCAGCUGAGAAGCCUGAGAUAUGUCGGAACUAAAUGGCUUGGUCAAAGUGCUGUGACAGCGCUGGGCAGACAGAUUAGGGAUAUUGCCUGCAAAUUCUGUGGUUUUAUUGAAAAGACAUUCCUUUCUGCUGAUUUCUAAGCAUUUCUCUGGCUUUCUAGAAGGACUGUGCAUGGAAAUAAACUAUUCUUUUCAAGUUCAUUCCUGCCACUGGGCAUUACCCACUGCCAGAACCUUCCUGGUCACAUAAUUAUUCCCACAACUGCCAUCAGCGUGUUGCAGAGGAUUAUGCAGCAGGAGCAGAUGAACUGCUAAACAGAUCCUAUUUUCCUAUAAAUUGUAUUAGUAAGGAAGAAGGACAAGAAGUAAAACAGGGGAGUAACAUGGAAAGAGGCACAGCUGCUCCUGAGCUCAAAUGUCUUUUGCUGGUUUUGAGUUCAUGGCUGCAAUGCUGUAAAUGGAGUUCAGAAUUGGAAUUAACUCUCCAGAGCCGUAAAAGAACAUUAAUUAGAGUUCCUUUGUAAUAAAAUGGGUUCUCCUCAUCCAUUUUAAAACCGGAUGAGUGAAACCCCAGAAAAAGGAAUGAAGAAAAUAAUCCCUUCUUUGGCAGACAUAUAGGCAGGAUUCUAAUUAAUAGGGCUUGUAAUUUUUAUGAUUCUUUGACAGUGCCCUUCAAACCUCUGUAGGAUUAAUCAGUAAAAGGACUGUAGUCCUAUUACUUGGGAGCCUUACAGAAUACUUUUACAAGGUAUGCAGUAGCCAGGAGAAAAUGUCCAGAUGGGAAUACUUCAUCAGCAAGACGUGAAUAUUGCACUCUUGGUUUUGAUUCUGCCUCUGAGUUUUCAAUCUGAGGUCAAUAUUUUUCAACUCAGAAACUAACCUUAAGCAAUCUACAUUCAUAUUUUGAGAAGUCUGCUGCAUGGAAAUCUUGCUACUUUUAUGUAGAAGCCCUUCACAUAGAUUUAAAGACCAACAAUAGGCAUCUCCGUUUUGUUAUCAUUUUUUCCCCACAGUCCACUCAGAUUAAUGAUGACAUUAACAAUUAACAUUUGGUCAGAUUUAGGGUUGAAGAAAUAACCUGCUAUCCUGGCUCAGACAACUCAAGGGCAUUAGGGCUUCCAAGCACUAGGGACUUCCCCUCUUGCAGAUGACUCUUCUUGAAAGAAUAAGCAAUCCGCCAGGAACAUUAGUACCCCAUGUGCUGCGUGAGGUCUCCUUUAAUAAGCUGUACAUACUCCUCAACUGACUGUGAUGCAGAGAUCCUCAGUUCAUAACAACAACUGUACUAACCCUGGAACAGCUCUGUGCCACGCCUAAUAAAUACUGCUAUGGUAAAAUAAUGUGCAAGGCUCUCCAGUCCCAGAGAGAACUCUGCAAACUUACGAGGAAAACUUAAUUUUCCAGACGUUCUUGUGCCAGAGCUCUGCUUUGUGGGGCAAGUGGUGUGGAGUGAUCCAGGAGGAGCUGUGGAAGGAAGACGGAAAUUUCUCAAAUCACAUGUGCAUCUGUGUGUGAUAGGGGGAAGAAGUGAAGCCUCUUUGUCCAUUGGGUGUACCUCAGCCAGGGUAUGGCUAUAUCACACUCAAACUAGUGACAUGUUACAGGUGCAUCCUAGCUAGGUUUAAACUGCCUCAUUUUGUUAUUGGUCCAGUGCAGCACAGAGCCCAAGAUAAGCUCAUUUUCUUCAGCUCCUUAGCUGUGUUUCAUUCCCAUUUUGACCUCCACUCUGUGAGAUGAGUAUGGCAUGCUAUACCCUGAGUAGCUAAUUUUAAACCUGGACAAAUCUCCGUGCUAUAUGGUAGUCAGUGGGAUGGCUAUAUACUCAGCGUGGUGAGAAUACUUUCCUCUUGCCACUCAUCAUGCUCAAAUCUCUCCAUGAGAACAGAAUCUGCCACAAUUGGGAGGCAACCCGAGCUCUGUUGUGGUUCAUUAGGAACAACGAGCCUUGCCGUGCCCACAUCCCGUCUGAUGCGUUGCUGUUGUAUUCUUGUUUCCUGUCUUAUUUCCUCCCCACUGCUUCCCGCCCCUCUGCUCUACCUGGAGUGGUGUACAGCUGAAGCCUCUGGUGCACAGGCUCAGUACUGUGAGAUACGCAGCACAGUUUGGGGCAUGAUCAGAUACUGUGCCUGAGCUAAGCCCUUCUUAAGAUAAGAAGCUUUUCUUCUGAUCCGUGUUUGUUUGAUCCCAGCAGUGUGAAGGUUGAUCUAGGUAAGAAAUCUGUCCACUGGGAAAUACCGUAUUUCAAAAAUGAAUUACAUCUGAAAAUGAAGGGCCAGAUUUUCAGUCUCCAACAAGAUCCCUUUGAACAAGAGUACUGACAUGGAAGUGCUCUCCACACCAACCUCACAGCCAGCAGUGGUUCCUGUGCCAUCAUUGCUUGAAUAAGCACAAUAGCCUUAAUUUCUGAUUGCUGCCUUUGGCUUGAGGAAUAUAUUGAAGAUAGUGGUAGUGGGAACUGGGACACAAUGCAGUCUAGCAACCAAGGUUAGAAGAAUGGUUUGAAAGGAAUCUGUGGACAGAGUGCCCCGAAACUUUUCAAACAGGAGCUGACCCCUGCUUUCUCCAGGGUUAAAAGCUAGAAAGGACAUCAUCUGCCUUUGAUUCCCCUGCCUAACUGAAAGCUCAUGCACUCGGCCACAGCUUUUAAUUUCAGAACCAGAUCCUAUUUUGCACAGAACAGCACCUGCAGAGUCAAUAGUUCAGCUAAAAUGGCAAACACUCUCAUUGCCUGUAUUUGGCUAUAAAUACAUCAUCAGCUAGAAACAGGUUAUUUCCCAAAUGGUAUUUUCCUAUUACAGGAAUUAAAGGGCCCAGUGGGUGGAAGUGAUUGUUUAAAAAAUUAUUCUGAUACAGGAUAGCUUGUUGGUUUAUAUUCCUUAAAAACCUCAGGUUGAAUGAAAACUGGCAUCUGCUUUAAAUGAAACAAACAUACAAACUUCUUCUUCAGAUCUCUUUCUCUCUAAUAAAAGCCAGUGUAUUCUUUUGUGUACAGCAUUUCUGCAGUGAGAUAAUUCCUAGUUGUUUUCCUUUGUUUGGAUCUGGACUGAAAGCUGAGAUGAAGGUGUCUGACUAAAUUAUAUUGAAAGAGAGGGAAAAUCCCUCAAAGGUGAUGGUAAAGAUGAAGGAGAUAGAAUAUGUCUUUCCUCAUAAAGGACUGCAUUUAUUUUCAAAAUGUUGUGCUAGUGUCUUCUACAAACCACAUUCAACAAUGAAUGGGAAAAGCAUCCUGAAGACAACAGUACUUUCAUAAACAGUGUAUCUGUUACAUUGCUAUCAGGGAGCUGCAAAAGAAUUUGGAUUUUUUGUUAUAGUACAUGCUGGAGUUGGUUUUGCCUUGACAUACAGUUUAAAUGACUAUGGAAAUCUUGGUCUCACUUUACAGGUGGAGAUCAUUCAGAUGUACAUGAAGAUUAAUACAGAUAUAAUCACUCUUUGCAUGAUUGUACCAGCCAUUUAACGACGUCAAAAAUAUGAUGGUGUGGGAAGCUAUUGUCUGAGAACUUUCCUCUUCUCUACCUUUUCACAGACUGGAGGACAGCAUAUACACCAGUAUUUUAGUUUGCAAGAAUUAGGGCUUUUAAAAAAUAAAGCAGAUGGGAACAUCCACUGUGUUUAUGAAGUGCAGUUUGCAAAGACUACAGUCUGUGGUAUCACAUACAUGUUCAAGUGGAGGAUCCUUAGAGUAUAGCUGAGCAGAAGCAGCCACAGGCACCACACAUUAAGUACAGAAGCACUUUUCCAACAACCCUGAUGGAAGUUUACAAGUUAGUUUCCAAACUACUAUGUGAGAUCUAAAUAUUCAGUGUGCCAAUAUCUUGACAUACUGAUAAAGCAGAACUCCCCUCUGUACUGGCCUGCCCUGCCCUGUCCUGCCCCGUCCUGUCUCCCAGCUGUUCUGACAGCUUAGCAGUUAAGGCCCAUAUCUAAAUAGAGUUUAUAUAAUACAAGCUAGAAAUAACAAACUUAAUUUUGCUAGAAAUAACAAAAUAAAUCAAGGACUCCAACAUGAAGUCUUAAGGAAGGAGGUUUUCAGACAAACAAAUUUGCUAAGAGUUUCUUUUUGCAGACAGGUUUCAUUGAGGAGAAAAAAAAAGCAACUGAACAUUUUUUAAACAUUUUUUCAAGCAAUAAAAUGUAUUAGAAGUUAUUUUAAGUCCCUGGAUUUGUCUGUCAAAAUUGAUGGUACCUGCACUACAGAAAAGAGCAAGAAGGGAGGUCACCAUGCCUCACACAAGGUGUAGGCUGGUGUAGGGCUCAGUCUCCAGGGGAGGUGUGAGCAUGAAGUAUGUGCUGGUUUAGAGAGCUGCAGUUUGAUAUUGUGCUGAGACAAAGCAAAAUACUCUGCUUUCAGCUUUGUGUUUUGAACCUAAGAUUUCACUUUGGUUAUCCAAAGAGGAAACAACAUUCUGUCCAGCCUUUAUUCCAAUAGGAGGCUGCUAUCUUAGCUAGUGUUCAAGUGAGUAAGAGAUGAGUUAAAGGUCUUUCAACCUUCAGAAAGUGUUUCUGCAACUUGGACAAAAGCACUUUGGGGAACCUUUGGAACUAAUAGGCGUGUCUUAGAAAAAAGUCUGGCAACUUUGCAUCCCAUCGGCUGUCCCUCCAAAAAAAAAAAAAAUAAAAUAAAUAAAAGGAAAAGAAAAUAAAAAAAAAACAAAAGUAAAAGGGAAAAGGAGGCCUGUAUUCAGGUUUUGUCUGCAUGGGAUGAAAACUUGUAGGCACUGAUGGAGUGCCAGCAUAGUAACCCAAACCCAGUGGGGCUAUAUUUCUUGGAACAAAGCUUCUUUCAGAGAGCUGUUAUUUCUGUUUGAGAAUAUUGUGCCCCGGCAAUGAAAUCUUCAUGUGUUUUAUGCGUUCUGCUGUUUGUCAGUGAAAGUGCUUUAUCAUUUGUUUGUCACCCGGCAGGACUCAAGCCCAGAUCUCCUCUAAGUGGCUGAUGCGAUCACCUUUCAGUCUGUGACUGACAAACUCACAAUCCCUUAUUACUGUCAGCAUUGUGGGUAUGCUGAAGUAUUAAAAGCUCUUUCUUGUUCCAUCAAAGGAAGAAUUAACCUUUUGAUCUACUUUGCAGCAUUCUGAACUCUGGGUUGUUUGUUUCAUGUUAAUGAAAUUCAAUCUUUGUGCAACAGCAGAGGCUUCUUAAAUCUUACAAUUCUUCAGCAGAGGCUGGGAAUGGAAACCUGAUCUCACAAGUGUGGUCUGGAGCUUUGUUGUCAAGGUCAUUCAGCCUUUCUUGAACAGAAAGAAACGGUAGUAAAAAUAAUAUAAACUGUUUUCUGUUUCAUUUUUGACCAUUUAUUGGAUAGCAUGGAUUUUUUCCCCCCUCAUCUUUACUAUUAGGUCCAUAGCAGUCCUAUAAACAGCAUCUUGUCAAAAUAUUGUCUCGAAGCAGUCCUGUGAAAAGGUCUUCUAUUCUUAACUCUGCAUUGAAGAAUAACUGGGAGGUCUGUGCCAAAUUAAUUAUAUUAGAGAUUAUUCUAGAUAUUUCUAAGCUGUGUAUGAAUUUGCUUCAACUUUGUGUAUCAAGAAUGUGUGUAGAACAGGAUUACCAAUCACUUUCUCGAAGACUACUGAUGGUCUUUAGUCCAAGAGUUGAGGAGGGCAUGGUAGGAGAGUGAUAAUGACACUAGAUUCCUUCAUUGAUCAUUAAAACAGUAGAGCUGGGCAGGAAAGAUGCCGGUACAUUCCAGCUGUUAGCACAGGGUUGUUUUACAAAGCACAGUUUGCAGUGCCAUGCCAUGUAAUAUGAGGAAAAGACACUGGAUUGCUGUUCGCAGCUAUUUUCCACAGCCAUUUUACUUGUUGCAAUCCCUUGCCCAGGAGGUAUGCAAUUUCCUUAACGUCAGAGCAUGUGUCUCAUGGGUUGAAGCAGAUCAGUUCUGUGCUUAGGUGGGGAAUGCACUACACUUGCAGGACGGUGAUCUUACGAACCUUUUUGAUUCCUUUUUUAUUUUUGAUAGGCUGUACAGUAGGCGACUUGCAGUUUAUGCACUCAUAAAUCCUUGUGCUUGUAAUAAAACUGUUGAAGCGAAGCUUUCACAAAGUAUGGUUCAGAUAAUCCCAGAAGAAUUUGGAAGCUUUUUUGGAACUUCUUUUGGCUGUCAGACUGGUGUGGACAGGUGGCUUAGGGUGCAUGCAUGUGAGAGGGAGAAAGAGAGGGACAGAGGUUUUAGUAUGAUUUUAGGUAUCACCUAGUUCCAGACAGGCUGGCAAUGCUGAGAGAUUAGCUUUCAUCCUGGUAUAUUGGCACUUGCGGUUCAGGCCCCAAGCGCAAAUACAGCACAAUAGACAACAAAAUUCUUCGAAUAGCAGCAAGACAAAAAUAGGAUUGUUUUUGUAUCUACAUGAAAAAGCAGCAAGACUCAGGCUCUGCCUUACAAUUUAAAAUGCAAUAAAUUGUACCAAGUUGGCUAUGACUGUCAUAUUACCCCUUGUGUACAGACGGAAAUUGAGGCCACAAAGAGGGAGAGUGACUUCCUCAGGAUGACACAGCAGCUCUUCAGCAGAAGCUGGAAACAGAAACCCAAUCUCACAAAUAUGGUUUGGAGUCUUAAUGUCAAGGUCAUUUGGCCUCAUCAGAACAGAAAGAAAUUGUAGAACAGAGAACACAAACUAUUUCUCAUUUAAUUUUGAACUAUUUAUUGGACAGAAGUUAAUCUUUUGCCUUACUAUUAAUGCUGCUCCUUCAGCGAUGCUUUGAAACACAAAAUACUUCAGGACAUGGAAACUGUCUGAAAUUGAUAAAUAUUUUGCUGUCUAGUCCCACGUUACAUCACUGUUCUUCUCCUCUCGGUUUCUUUCAGUGUGAAAAGACACAUUUAAAAGCUGGUAUCGAUGCUUAAUAUGUAGACUGUAAAAGCACAAGAUAUUUGGAACGAUACAUCAAUAUUGUGUGGGAUUGUUUUAUUCCUAGUGCAGGAAUUUUCUAUUCUCAUAUAGAAAACUAAACUCCAAAUGUGCAGAGGAGACCAACUCCACAUUUCACUGAUUACAAGAUUUUGCAGUCAUACUAACAGCACAGCAUUCAGCCUGCAUGGACCAGAGCUGCAGAGCAGAGGUGCUUCACCUGUUUUAAUUCAUCUUCAUGCCUCUGGAAAGCAAAUUCACAGGUAGAGAGGCUGGACGUGGUACAAAGGGCUUCCAUUCUGCUCCCAUUCCAACCCAAGACUCCACUUCUGCCUCUCUUGGCUCAAACAAGGCAAGAUCACAGCUGGGAAAGGUUAGUUCUAACAUGAGAAUUUCAACAAAACUUAGCACAAUGUGCUUUCUAAUGAAAGAAAUUAGAGUCUUCUUUCUCCUGGCAGGUGUCUAGCUUUUUGGCCAGAUUCUGUUUGCUUCCUUAUUUUCACCUUACAUCUCCAUUUCUUAAAUAAUUACAGAACUUUUAUUGACUUGCCUUGUACUACUUUGAAAGCAAAUAUACAGCUGCAAAUUUGCACCUGCAAACGUCAGAAUAAAUAAGGAUGUUGUGCCUCUGAACAGUUUCACCCAUAUGAAAACAUAGUCCUAAAUUAAUCUGAGUAGGUAAGGUGUUGAAGGAAGGAAAUUGGUUAUGAUUUGCCAGGCUAAACUCAUUUUUCUUUGCAUCUUUUCACAUAUUAACUGUCUAUGGGUUCUCAGGAAACUGAAGCACUUGAGUAGGAAAAAGAGAAACCAAGAAAAGAAUGCUUUAGUUAAGAAAUUAAAAGAAAAUAUUUUCAAAAUAAAAAGUAAAUAUUUUUAGCUAUUAACAAUAAAACAUUUCCAUUGUAAUUACUGUGGCAGGCCUUAAGACAACUUGCUACAUGAUUGAGGAUACAUGACCGUAUAUUGAGUGUAACUGUCCUCUGCUUUCAUAUUAUUAUAUAUUAAUACUGCCAUAACUUGAUCUGAAUAUUUAACAUUUCUAUUAGCUUUCUGAGACAUUUUUUGGAGCUGACUAUUUGCUAGCAUGGAGGAGACGAAAAUGCUUUUGAAGAGAGGCAGUAUAGAAGAUUAGAGAAGUAGGAGUAUCCAAUUCAAUUAUUUUCCCCUUGAGAUGUUCUUUGCUUCAUUUCACAAGAUCAUACUCUCUGUAUCAAAGCUUCUCCAUAAGCUUAGUAUUUCUGCUGUGCCAUCUUUUCUUUGCAAGGUAUGCCACCACUUUUGUCCAUUUUGGAGAGUUUACUUGGCACUGUUCUCACAGAAUAUGUCGAGCCUUCCAUAUUAGAUACUGUACUAAUAGUUUUUUCCAGCAAUAUAUAGUGGGAGCUGCUGCCUGGGUCUAUGGUUUUAAGAUUGCUCUUUUCUUCCUACAAAAAGCAAUAACAACAGUAGCUUCCCCUUGCCCAUCUUAAAUCUUCUGAAUGGACCGAAUCCCAAUACACACAUCUAUAAACCCCAUUCAAGUUCUGUCUCUAGCAACUUUUUACUGCUUUCAACAUGGAUUUUCCAAAUAUUUUAACCACCUACUAUUCCCAUUUUGUAUGUACAAAGGAAAAACAGACUGUUUUGCAUUUCAUAUAGACAUCUGGGGCAACAUUAUGUAUUUUGUGAGACAGCAAUGGAGAAAUAUGCAUUCUGUAAACUAGAUAGUACUGAAUCCUGUGUGACGGUUAGUUUGGGAGCGAGUAUUUAUCAUCUGCAUGAUCUCAUCUCAGUCUUUCGCUGUUAUUUCAUAUUUACAGUCUAGACUAAAUAACUUAAUAGUUUUUAUGCAGUUUGUCUUUUAAAACCAGCUAUGAAUCAUAUAUUCUAGACAUAAUCUUGAUCAUGGAAACUUCAGCCUUUGAAUUAUACUUUCUAAUGAAGCUAGCCUACUUUGUUGCUUGUCUGGAAAUAAUAUAAGUAAUCUAAGCAAAUAGUGUACAUUUAUAUUGUACAUCCCUCUUUCUCCUUCCAUUGCCUUUUCCCUUCCUCCUGGUAAGAAAUGUUCUAUUUACUACAGUUUCUUUCAAUGAAGAUAUGAAAGUAUUUUAUUUUCCUUCUGAUUAAAAUACAUUUCUGGGAUCUGAUUUUUUUAAAUUAUUAUUAUUAUUUUUACUCAAUAACUUGUAUCUUCUGUGACCAAUUAGUAGAUACAGUUUUAAUUACCAAGUGAUAUUUCAUGGGUGCCAGAAUACUGGAGGAAAAGUCUUAUAAUUGCUAUAAUGAGAAUUAGUUUGCCAUUUUAUGAUCCAGUCAUAAUUGCCUCUUAAUGCCUCAUCCCUCAGUGGAUCUGAUACACAUGACCCUAACAUAUUGUUAGAAAUAUGCUACCAUGCUACCACUGCGUUUUCCGUCCUCUCCCCUCUCCUUUUACGUGUUCUUAAUUACUGUGUUUUAUUCUUGGCCUUUGGAACAUUUCUGAAAAAUUUCUUUUUACUUUUUGGUUUGAUUUGUUUGUUUUGAUGAGAGAGGGACAAGAAGUUAAUUUUAGAGUUUCUGGUUUUUACCAGACAGUUCCACCUACUACUGCACAGGGUUCUAAUGAAUGGCUUAAUAUUAAAUUUAGUUAUUCUUCACUAUAAACAGUGAACUGCUGCUUAAAUAUUUCAUUUUAUUAUCAACUACAUUCCACAAGUGUUCACUCUUUUUUUAGGUGUUUCAUGGACCAAAGAUUAAAGUACUAUAAUAUACAUCUGCUGAGGGUUUUUUUUUCAACUAUUACUUAAAACUUUUAAAGAAUUUUUUCUGUGCUCAUUGUACUUAUUUCAUAAUUUGGUAUCUUUGAAUUUUAAUAUAAUGGUUUGGUAACCAAAUGAAACCAUGAAGAUAAUAAGAGUCAUGUUUAUCUUGUUCUCCCAUAAUAUGAUUUUUGUUUAGUUUGUCAGUUUUUUUCCCCUCCAGGAGAAGUCAGAAGAUUUUGAUAGAUAAUUUUGAUGCUCACUUGAAAAUGUCUCCCAAUGUAGUUUCUCCAAAACAUGAAGCAGUUAGCAUUGAUAGCUACACAGUUACAGUUUUCCUCUUCAUACUCUAGGUGUGUGAUUCCAUAUGGAGAAAUCCUCUUUCACAUUAACCAAAGAGCUUCUUUCUUUACAAAGCCUUUCCAGGGCUGUUUCACUUGUGGAAGUAUUAUUAUGUACAAUGCUCAAUAGCAGCAUUUUAGACUCUCUCAUUUACAUUAAAGGAGAUCUAUGGGACUCUGUAUUUCUAAAAAAUCCAUAUUUGGUUUAAGUUUUAAAAUUGGAUUUUUGUGACAAGUUGAUGAUCGGCAAACCGUCUGUCACCAGUGAAGUGUUUUUACAAUCUGGGAGCUGAUGGUGUCUCAAACAUUUUAUAGCAUUUACCAGCACAUCCAUUUGUUCAAGAGUCUCUGUUUUUAACAAUUUCAUUGUCUUGCUGAGGCCACCUGGUACCUCUUUCAUUAUAUUAGAAUCAAGACAUUUUGAUAUCUGUUUCAUAACGGCUCUUGCAGCAUAAAAAACUUAUUGAUUUGCUUCUUUGCAAGAGUUUAUUUCCUAAAAUGCUCUAGAGAUGUGAAUAGGCUUGCUUUCUUAAUAUGGCAUUUUUGUCUUUAAAGUAUAGCGUUGUUGGAUGGAGACAUUUGUUUGAAAUCACUCAAACUCACAACCCCUGUGACUUCUUCCCCACUUGCAGAGUCUGUCUUUGCCAAAUAGGUGAGCUGUCUGGGAUUUUCCUGGUACCCAUGUUCUUGAUGCUAUCUUCACAUUCUUAAUUUCUUGGAAUAAGUUUGUCUCGUUCUGUAAUCAUUGUGCAUUUUUAUGCAUCCCAUAGUGAGGUACUGGAGGUCCUCAGACACUACUCUUCCCCCAACUAGAGAAACAAAAUGGGACAAGAUCAAGAACAGUAAUACAAAAUACUAGUAUAUCUGAGCUUAAAAUUAAGCCUUACUGUUUACCUGAGAAAUUACUGAGCUUUCUUGCCUACAGACAACAAAAUAAUUUCUGUGAAUCAUUAUGUAUGAUACAGCAGUGAAGCUUUAUUUAAGUAGAAUUUGUGAGCACCCACAGGGAGAAAAGUGUUUAUGCAAAGGAAGCAGUCAGGUUCAUUGGUAUCUAGUAUUUUGGAACAAGUAUCUGGUUAAUAACAAUUGACAAAGACCAUCAAAAGUACCCAGAAGCCUGAAGUGAAAAUAUUUAGCAUUAAUCAGUAAUCACUGUAGUGGUAAUUAAACACGAUUCUGUCUUCAGUUAAAUGGAUAUGUGGCAAAAUCUAUCCAUGAUUGUCUUUGCAUUAGCUUGUGUAUGCCUCUUUAGGAUAGCUCAUAUGAAUGAAGAAUUUGGUUUUCUUAACCAAAUAUGAUUUCAAAUAAAAAGGGCAAGCUGUUUUGUUAUGCAGCUGUGGGCUUGUCAGUCAGUUAAUGUCAAAUUUCUUUGGAAAGUUCAAACAUGAAGUACAUUAAGCUUCUAGUAAAGACAAAAUCUGGGUAAUCGAUUUGGGUAAAUCAGCAGAGCUUACUUGAUUUCAGUUAAAAAUCUUGCUGUUUAGAGAUGCCCUUGUAUUUACAUGUUUAAAAACUGGGAGUUGCAGAAUCCUACCUUAUCAUGAUAGUAGCAUUUUUUCCCUGUUCAAUGCAAAGGAGCAGGGAAUUAGGUCCCAGCUUCCAGUCAAAUUUGGAAAAUGGGAACAGCAGUGAGAGACAGCUUUUAAAUAUAUUACAAAGUCAAAUAACCAUAAUGCAAUCUCCAUUUAUUUUUCAUCAGCUUCCUUAUAUGUGUGAAUAGUGACACUGAAGUGCAACUAUAUUUAAUCCUUGUUUAAAUCAGCUUCCGUCAACAUAAGCUGUACAGCAAGGCCAAGACAGUAAAACCUUACCCAGGAGUGGAAGUAAUCAUGGCAUGAAUUACAUCAACUCUCCACCUUUCAGGGCACAAAACCAAGACCGGUGCUGCAGUGCCUGGGACCUGACCAGGGCCAGGACAACAAUGGAGGGCAUUCUUCAGUGGGCUUUUGGUUCAGAAGGCAAUGUCCUCUCCCAGCAGAAAGUCAGGUAACAAAGCAGCCUCUCACUCCUGUGAGGGCAAAACUCUGUCGAUGACCAAGGGUACUGUUGACAGAAGGAAGUAUGACUCAUAUUUUGGCUUCAGUAAACUGGAUUACUAUCAGGGUGACUCUGGAGUUGUAUUACUGCUGUUCCUACCACAGCAGUGACUCAAAAUAUCAUGAGCUGUUGGUCCAUGUGUGUCUUAGUAAUGUUUUCACCUCUGUAUGCUGGUAAAUAUAAUAGAGAUGUUAUGAACUGAAAGUCGGUGAAUUCUUGGCCCAAAUAAGUAAAUGAUAAAUUAUGUUUCUAUGGAAGCAGCGUAAUAGAUUCCCAAUCUGAUGUACAGUUAUUAUGAGAUAAAGAAUAAUUGUCUUAAGUUUGUGAAUUUGCUCUUCAAGUUCUCCUACAUGAAAGAGCAUGGAAAACAAUUAUCUUGUGAAUGAGAAAUUAGCUAAAGGAAAAUUUCAUUGCUCUGAGACAGAUGUUUGAAUUGCUGGUCUAAUGCUGCUGCAUUUAUACAGAGCCUCUCACAAAUCCUGACUGAUGUCAUGUCACGGAGGCACCCCAAGGUUAGUUUAAGGGACAACAGGGUCCAAUACAACUUUUAUUAAACCAAUGAGAAACAGGGUUUUAGCACUCCAAAAGUGACUUAAAUACAGGUUCGGAUAUCAGUUGAGGAAAAUUAUUAAGAGGCAGCAACUAAUACAACAGGUGGUCCACAGAGUGCAUGCACAUGUCUUCACCCAAAACAAUGCUGGAGCCGUCCCUGAGUCCUGGAGGAGUACACACUUGCCUGAACACGGUGUGGGAUUAUUUUAAAGAGAUACACGUACUCAUAGUGAGUACAGAAAGUGUACACUCACAAUUGUGCGAGGGUAAAUCCUGCCAGGGUUAAUUUACUUACACGUGCAAAUGUGCAUGUGAAUAUUACAUGUGCUUAUGUGGAAGCACGGGAGGAAAAUACACUCGUGAUUGUGCGAGGAAAUAAUUUAUACACGUGCUUGCAUUGAGCACAGAAAGUUACGCGUGCAAAUGUGCACGGAAAGUACAUGUGCUUGUAUUAAGCACGGAAAGUACGCAUGCAAAUGUGCACAGAAAGUUACACAUGCAAAUGUGCACGGAAGGAAAAUACACCUGGGAUUAUGCGAGGAUUAAUUUUACACGUGCUCAUAUUGAGCACAGAAAGUUACACGUGCAUAUGUGCACGGAAAGUAUAAAUAUACUCGCAAUCCUGCGAGAAGUUUUACUCACACCCGUGGCAGCGAGGCAAGCGGAGUCUCCAUCCAGGGGAGGGGGGCUCUCGGUGGCAGCAUCUCGCUCGUGCUCCGAGAGACCCGCGACAAUGGGCGGAGUCUCGACAAGAAUCCCGUUUUUAUACUGGCUGAUCAGAUCUGACUGUAGGCAUUCUAGAAGCUUCUCUGCACCCCCACACUGGCUGUGGGUGCCCCUGAAGCCUCCAAACAUCCCCCACACUGGCCGCAGGCCCUCGGCACUCCCUUCCCCUAAUGGCCCUGGCCAGGGUGCUCUGGGGCCAAACAAAAGAAGCUGUUAGCCUCAAGUAGCACAGAGAGAGGGAGAUGUGCCUACUCCUUCCAUACUGAAGGAGGGAGAGGGAGAGAGGGGGGGUUGCAUUCUGCCACAUGUCAAUAAGUGACACCAUAAUAGAACAUUAUAGAGUGGUAUUUUAGAUGUCGUAAAGCCCCAAACUAGUAGUGCGCUAGCAGAGAAUGAAGCCUCAGGACAUUCAGGACAUCCAGUCAUUUUUUUUUCCACAAGAAAUCUGUGGAAAAGUUCCUUUCAGCUAUGUUUGUGACUCUCUUUCUAGACUUGUCUUCCAAUAAUGUUUUCCCUGGCCUACCAUGAGCGGGUGAAAACACUACUUAAUGUAUUAAAAUAGUUCUGAGGACACCGAAUGGGGAGUGUUGACUUUGCAUUCUCUGACUCUUAUUUUUUCAGAUUGUUGAGUGUGUCUAUUUCAAGAUUCUCUCAAAAUGGUUAAAGGCACAAAUGCCUCUGUGACUUCAGGCUAUUCCACCAUUGUUUUCUGUAAAGGUCACUCCACUGAAGAGAAGCUGCAGUGAUCUUUACGAAGGCAAGAGAACCUGCCUGAAAAUGAUAAAAGAGCAGCCACACACAGAGCCUUUGGUAACUCUGUCAUCCAGAGAAUGAGUUCCUUGAUCUCCUGGGAUUACUUCAGUAUACUUUUGCCUUGGAGUGAGGCUUGGUUUAAGCCAUAAACUAUUUUUUGUCAGCAUAGUUAUUCAAAAUGUAGAAAAUUCGGAAAGACAUAUACCAGUUGAAGAAGCAGGAGUACUGAAAACCUUCAUAGUGGUACAUUUCUCCAUAAGGACAAGGAUGUCAUUUCUACUCAGCUGCUGCUAAGGUUGCUGAGAUUGUGGUUGUCUUACCUGAAAAUAUCCCAAGGCUUAAUAUGGUUUAUAUGGGUCUUCAGACAGACCAGGAAUCUGCAGGACUGGGUAUCUCUGGUCUGCCCUGUGAGACUGCUGUUGAAAUCCAGGGCCCCAACCCACACCUUCAGGCUUUUCAGGUUAUGCCAAGCUCUGGCACAGCUCGCUGCUCCCACACCUAUGAAUCUGGGAGCACUGAGGCCACUUGAUGACCUCCAGGAGUUGAGACAUUGAUUUGUGCACAUCUGUAGAGCCUAAAAUGUUUACAAGCAAAUAUUUGUGGAUCAAUGAAUGAUAAAUUUUCAAUUUAAAUGUUGUUUUUUAAAUGUUGUAAAUGAAAUUCUGCCCUGCUCAAGGGACAAUCAGUCAGACUGCCAGUGUUCGGAGCCUGAGCUGUCACAUGCUGACAGUGCCUAGAGCUCAGAUAUGUCUGGAGCUCAUUUGCUUCCCUGACCUCCUACAUCAACCAGGUAUUAAGGGGCCGGAAGAUAGAUACAGGUAGGCAGGAGUAGGUGUCCUGAAUCCCAUCUUGUCUGCCACAUGUCCUGAUACUUAGACCCUUAGUUACUGUUUGGUUAGCUUGUGUGCACCUUUUAGAGAAGAUCUGAAGACUGCACCUCUGUUCCAGCUGUAAGGGAUGCCAAAUUUGGAAAUAUUCUUCCAAAGAGAGCACUAAUACUGUUAGACUUCUGGGAUUCCAGAAUGUUGUUUAUCCCCUCAGAAGGGUAACUACUCCAUGCCUCAGUUUAUCUCCAGUACAGGCCAUCUACCUCUAACAUGGGUGCUAAUGGGAGUAUGGAAGCAUACUUCAAAUGGUACAGAGAAGAUCUUCUACAGAACCACGUGCUGGAACUUCACCAUCUUUAGAGAAGUGUCUGUAGGAAGUAGAUUCUCCACAGUAUCUGGAUCUUAACUUGGCCUGAGGCAAGAGCUCCUACUGACUAUAUGCCUUUAAGAGGCAAAACUGCUGUUGAGCUUCUGGUGACUUGCCUAACCUCUAAGUUUGAAACAGCUGAUUUCAAUACAACUAGAAAGCUGAAUGGGGGUUUCUCCACUUCCAUCCAGGAUGUGACACUUCACAUAAGGAUCUGCGAAGUAAACUACCAGAGAAGUCUAUAGAAGUAUAGAAUUGGCCAGAAAAUGUAAUUAAAACAGCUUGAAAGAAGAAUGUUUCAAAAGAACAUUCUUUGUGAACUUACAAAUUUCAGCAAAUACUCCUCAGGAAAAUUGAAUAAAAUGAAAACUGGGUUUGAAUAAUUUCAUUUCAGAAUUUUGACAUUUCACUUAGCAUAGGAUGUUUUUACUUUAAUUCUUUUAUUGUUUCCUAAAAUUUAACUAGUAGUGAAUUUUUUCUGUUACUACUGCCAUGUGCCAUAAUAUGAUAAAAGAGCUGUAUUUAUUUCAAAAAUAAUGAAUUGAGGUUGCUACUUUGUAAUGGUUGAAAUAUUUUAUCUGUUUUCCAGAUCAGAGUAUCUUCUCUUUGCAUCAUAAUGAAAGUAGUAAUAAAAACAGACAGCACUUUGAUCUAGAAAAAGUACUUGUUCUAACGAGUAAGAACUUACUGUUCUUAUAGAUUUUGAAACUGAAGGCAUGUCUGUGCUUCUUCAGGAAACUUUUCCUGACUUGCUUUAGCAUUAAACUGUAAAAUAAAUACUGUAUUCUUCUAGCACAGCAUAAUGUCAGCAAGACAAAGGUUAAGAAGCAUUUUGCACCGGUACAAACGUUGCAUUCGCAGCUCAUCCAAACAUUUCUGUGUCGAGCAGAUAGCCGGGAGAUGAAGCACCAGUGUCUUUGCCUGAUCAGAUGCAUGGGACCAAAGCCCAGGCAUUCAGUUCUUUGACAAUCUACCUGCUGUUCUGAGAGACCAAGUGUGCUACACAUCUGACUUGGUCUGUACUGCCCAGCUUUCCUCAGCUGGGUUGUGGAGGGGUGGGAGUUGCUUCCAUUUAUGAACACACGCAACCUGGCUGAGCACUGCGUUGGGUAAAAAGGGCAUUCUUCUAUGGCUGCUGCAGAGUGCAGCAGGCCAAGAGCUGCUUGAUCCAUACUGCUGAACUCUGAACGGAGCCUGCUGCAAUAACUGGAAAGAGAUCAAGAGGACUGAACAGGAUAUGAAGGAGAAAGGCAGUAUGGAUUUCUGAACUGCCCCAAAUUGAGGUAAAAUGUUACUGUUGUUUUGACAAAGAAGAAAGACAUUCUUCAAGCUAGCUGAAAUGCCAACUAAGCCUCUUGAAUGAUUCUGGGAAAGAGAAUAAUAUUGCCAAGGACAAACUUAGCCUUAAAGAGGUUCAUGGCUUUCAACAAUGAUGGCUAUCAGAUAAUGAUUAGGGCAUCUUGUGUGGAGCUGAAUAUGAGACCCAACUAAGCAGAAGAAUCACAGAAAGUGCUGAUAGAGAAGAUAUGUGCAAGGUUAAAAAUAUUUCAGUAUGUUCUCAAGUGCUUCGUUCUCUUCCAGCAGGUUAGAUUACUUGAGGGCAUAUAUUUGUCUUGCUAUGUGAUUAUGCAAUGCAUUCUCUAGUGGCUAAAAACUAGAAAGAAUCUCAAGAUCACAUUUAGAAGAAGAUGGCAAGUUUUAUACAUAUGUCUCUCACCUGUAGAAUUAUCUCAUGCAGAUCAACGUAGAAGAACAAUAAUGGCAAGUCAAAGAGAAGGUUGUACUGUUGCUGUCAGAGGUCUGUGGCUAUGUGGAAGAUUUCAGCCUCAGCAACCACCAACUGUCACCACCAUCCUCUCCACCAUUACACAAUGCAUCUUUUGUUCAGACCAGCAUGAGCACAGUGCUUUUUGGAGAAUUGAGUGUGCUCUUUGUAGGUAAAGGACUUCUACAGUUCAAUCUAGUUAUAGACAAUAUAGUUAAUGUCAUCUCAAAAACAAAGAGAAAAGCAAUGUAGAUAGUAGCAGGUGUCACACUAACAUAUUAUAUUUAGCAAUCAUGUUCGCUUCUAACACGCUGUUUAUUAAAUGUCAUGGUUGCACAUAUUUACUCACUUUUUUCCUACUGGCUUGUGCAGUCAUCCAUUCCCUGUUUAAUUUUGCAGACUUGUUAAUACGUCCUUGUGACUUUCUUCAGGGAGCUCAGUUUAUCCAAAUGUCCAUAGCCCUAGCUGUAUUUAGUUAGGGUUUUUAUAUUGUUCCACCUCUGUUUCAUGCACAGCUGUGUGUGCUUCUUGCAGAUGAAAGAUCUGUACAGUCCUAGUUAUUUAUUGAUUACUAGAUUCACACUGCUUGGGAACAGGAAGAAAAACAGCAGAGUCAGUGGCAGGUGGAACGAUUUUGUCCAAUUACAGUUGAAAAGUCUUUGUCAGGAGUCCAGUUACACUCCUCAUGUCUCUCUCUUAGAGCAUUCUGGACUGACCUGCCAGUAUGGCUUCCUCAGAAAGUUAUCCCAUCCACGGCUGUGUACUGGACAAGAUUGUCAAGACUGUAUCCAGCGUUGUGUGUUUCUCUGAGCUAUCUAUCUGCUGGAUUUAAAAAACCGCCAAAUCUGCCUAUUUUAUCAAUGAGAAUCUCCCCAAAACAAACAUCUCAAGUGAAAUCCACCAGCCACAGCAGACAGACUGAAUCAACUACUGGUAGAAAAGUGUAAAUUGCUUCAUAUCAUCUCAAUAGCAUUGAUUUUGUACUUCAGUUAUCACAAUGUUCAUUCUUUCCUCCUGAUCAUUUUAGCGAAAACACUUUAGAAGCACGCUUGCCUUAUUACCUUAAUUUCUUAGGUCUCCUCAAAACCUUCCUUGCCCCUGGACUAACUGCUAAACCUUCCCUCACUUGGUUUAUUUAGUUUUUCUUCAAUUAUCUGUUUGUUGUUGAUUCCAAUUUCAAUUUGCUAAAAUUUCUUGUUAAAUAUGUGGUAUUUAAGCCAAUGAAAGAUCUCCAGGAAAUCAAGUGAAAUGUGAUCACUUAGGUGGAAUAUUUUCCCCCAGAUCUUCAGUAGCAGAAAUAAAAGCAGUGUAAAAGUCGGCCAUUAUCUCAUUAAAAUCUGUUUCUGCUUUCAGCUCAUAACUUCACUAAAUUAGCAUUAGAAGAACAGGCCUUUAUGUUAAAUUCAUUGCAGAGUUGUGCCAACAAGACUAGUUGCUUUUUAGUGGUCCCUCAUUGCCUGUUUGCACAAAAUUAUAGCAAAACCCUGAACAGUAAAUUAAAAUGGAACACAACCUUUUUAUGUUGAGCUUAGAGUAGUUGAAAGCUUAAGCUUCUGUAGAACUCCAUAAUUAUUGCAUAAAGCUUGUUUUCCAGAUUUAAAAUUCGGAAUGAUUGAUUAAUUAAAAACACUUGCAAUAAUUAAUGUGCAUGCUAGAGGAAGCCAGAAAUUAUUUACAUAUAAUUGCUUAUGGUUCAUUUUAUUGUACAUACAAAAAAACUUGAUAUACUGUCUCUCUCCCAGGACUUAGGACUCCACAGACUAACACUGUCUUGGUGCCUGAUUUUAAGUUAUUCCUUGCAGUAGGUUUUUCUCUUAUUUUGUUCUAUUUGUGACCAUGCAGUUUCUGACCAUGUUCUCCUCUUUCUUAGAACCUUUAUGUUUUUGUGGCAAUGAGCUCCUCAUUGUCUUUAUGCGUAUUAAUGUACUAAUGUAAUUUAAUACUUUUAGACACUGUAGGAAACAUUAUCUCUGUUUAAUAACUAUUGCUAUGAAGUACAGAGUAGGCCAGGUUGUUGGCAGAUGUUUGCAAAUGUGGUGAAUUCAAUGGCACUUAACAGUAUUUUGUCCUUGUCUCUUUGCAUGCCAUGUACUCCUUUCACAACAAGCAUUCUCUAAGCCAUAAUCCUACAAAGGGACAUAACGUGAGAAAAUGUCUGUAUGUAAUUUAGGACUACAAAUUGCCAAAAGGAUAUAAAAAACCCAAACAAACAUCUCUGUCAGCUCCUGUUCUACCUGAUAGUCCGAGCAAGAAGGGUUACACAAGCCCAUUUAAAUAGUAAAGAUAUAAUGCUGGUUUGCAGAGUCAUUUAUCAAAAUCUGAUCUGUGAAACUGCAAAUGGACAGAGACUGGAAGGUAAAAUGACUCAAAGGGCUUUAGUUUUUAUAGUAUAUAUAUAAUUAUAAACGAGGUUAUGGUCCAUCUCAGCUUGUACUGGAAGAAAAGCAAAGAUUUGAAUUCAGUUUGUUUUGUUCUUCCUUGUGUCUAGGCUGUUCAGGAAUAUAUUAUGGAAUGGGGACCAGGCAGGCUACUGAAUCUGCUUCAGUAUUAUCAUAACAUCUUUUUUAUGUAAUCUCCAUUUUGAGCUGAUCAGUUGAUUUUGAUGACACCUGCAAGAGACACUGUCUGUGGGAGAUCUGCUUCUUCAGAGGGCAUGUGCUUGAGUACACAUGCUGAAUGGAAAUUGUCCACCUCAUAAAAUGGGCAGAAGGCAGAUCCUGAGUCUGCAGCUCCCCUGAAAACUCACCCAGAGCUGUAGAGGCAAGUUCACCCACAAAGACUUCACAGAUCUUGUCAUUCUACCUGUUCCUAGUGAUGCAAAUUCAGUGUGAUGCAGUUGCUAGAUGUUCUUGUCAUUCUUCUCCUCCAGAUUACUAACCAAGGAACCACUGUCUUUGUCCGUGGAUGUGCUAAUUGUGGAAGAAUGGUCUAUGGAAGCUCAAUGACUUUUAAAGAUGUGUAUGUUCUUCCAGUUAACCCAAGCACAGCCCCCAAACUUUACAAUUAAUAGUUUCACAUGUAUUUCAAAGAAAAAUGCUGCUUCUUUACGUCCAGAAUUUCCUCUUAAAAUCACCUCUGCCUCUUAUAGGCAACCACAGUCUUUUCUGUGCAUGAAGAUGGAAAGACUUUAUGUGACUGAAGGUGAUUUUUAAGGUGAUAGAUAUAAGGCCUUUAGCAGCUGGAAAAAAGAGAUCACUACGUUUCUCGCAGUGUCUGUCAUUUACUUUGGAAAAGUCUAAGUCGUCAGGUAUAAGAUACCAUGACAUUAGUUUUUUUCCUCCAUGUGGAAAUAGAGUAUAAUAGUUAUUGCAAGCUCAUUAGUAUGCUUUGAAUUUAUCUCCUGCUUUAUUGUGCACUGAUUACUCCUUGUGGACAAGCCCAUUAUUCUCCACCAGCAUGUUUAUGGUUUCCCCAGCAGACUGUGCAGUGGGACACGCGACAGUGCAGUCACCUGACUUUACAAGUGAACCAAUUUGAAAAAUCAGUCCCAGUGCAUUAAAAACAACAACAACAAAAAAAAAACAAACCAAAACAAAUCAAAGAAAAAACUGUUAAUCUUUCCUAAAAUAAUUAUUUAGCCACCUCACUCUUUUCUCCUGGCAACACAUGAAAAUGAUUUUAUACCACACUACCAAGUAAGUUUUUGUCAAUGUUUGCGUAAUUACACAACUCACUCAUGAAUAACGUAACCAAGACAAACUCAAAGUGAUGACACCUUUUAAUACUGAACUGUUAUGUAUUCUUUGUAUCACAUAAAGUAUUAUUAAGUCUUUGGGGUUACACAGGAAUCAGUUAGUCAGACUGUAAAGGUGUCAGACAAUUAGGCUAGGCAUUUGCUGUUAUUUCAAAAUUGGCAAUUGAAGGUAAUUUAUUUGAUUAAAGAAUUAGCAUUUCCAAGUUUUGCCGUGCUGUGAUUUUGAGGCCUGAUUUAGCAACAAGUGAAAACCAAGUUUAUUUGGUAGUGUGUUGCUCUAGAAUAGGCAGGGAGAGAUGGUUAAGCUUAACCACUCCUCCACAUGGAGUGGAGGAGUGAAGGCUUCACUUACUCUGAAAUGGAUCAUUGAUGUUUUUCUUUUACCUGAGAACCUGUAUUGGGUGUACUGGGCCAGAUAAAAGGCCCAGCUAGCCCAGUGCUUCAUGUCCAGUGCUGGCCAUACAAGAGAUGCCUGGGGAAGAAUAAGAACCAGGCAAGCAGGAAUGAUACUUCCCCCUAAUACAUUCCUAAGCUCCAACUGUUUUCAGGUUUGGUGUUCCUUGGGCUGGAUGUGUUUUUGAGGUGUUUAUUAACCCUUAGAGACCUCUCCUUGAGCUCAAGCAAGCUUUAUUAUCUACAGCAUCUUUGUGGAAAGAAGUUGCACAGGUCCAUCACCUGUCACAUGAAGAACCACCUUUCUUGUUGGCUUUGAACCUGGCUGCCACCAGCUUCUUCUCUUUUCUUGACUAAAGAGUCCUAGCUAACUUAAAUCAUUCUCUGAACAGAAAUCUUUCCUUUCACCUUUCAACAUUAAUGGUAAAUUAGACAUUUUGCCCUUUGAUAAUAGAAAUUAUUUAGUAGCAUUUAAACAGUUAGCCCCACAACUUCUAUUGCAUGGAAACAUUUAAUGUCUGUAUCUUCCUGCAUACCCGUCCGUCAGAUUCUAAAUUGGUGCAGAUCUGUUAAGUUUGCUGAUUUCAAAGGAGCUCUACCUGUUUAGACUAAAUUAAGCUGUGAUUCAGGAUUUCUUCUUCUAUUUAUUGCUGGUGAUACAAAUUUAAUAGGUGUCUGAAUAUUUUCACAACCUUUGUAGCCGGCCUUAAAAAAAUCAAUUGCUUAAAUGUUGAAAAUCAUCUCUCUACAGAGUUAAAUUAUAAAGAGAAGUUUGUAAAACAAAAUAGAGCUGUGUUUUUUCUUUCCGAAUUAAGAUCUACUUCCUAGUUGAAUUUGGUCUGAUAUUACUGCUUUGAUAAAAACUGGGAUUAUGAAAACAGUGUAUGCCCUAGAAGAGCCUUAUAUAGCUUAUUCUGUGGAUAGUAUGAGAAUACUGAAUAUUUCAAUAGUGCAUACUUCAAUGCGAAUAUGAUAGCGAUGGCUGGGGUGGACAAGUCACCUCUAUAAGUGAAAAGUCUUUUAAAUUGUGCAUGUUUAGGAUGAACAUUCAGCAGCAUUCAAAGCAAAUGUGAGCUUUUAUGAACUGAAAAAAAGAUUGUAAAAUAAGCAAAGUGAAGCUAACUAAAUGCUCUAUACAAGGAAUCUGUGGAAGCAACAGGAAUAGGUGUAGGCACAGCCUGUCUUUUUAAUCACCAUGUUAAAAAUCAACACGCAAAUUGUUUAUACAGGAGUCAAAACCAAACCAAGCAAACUACCUCAGAGCUGGGCAGCACUCCACCCAGGCAAGACUUGUUACAUCAUGCCUUAAAACUGCCAGUGAGAGCUUCAGGGAAUAUUAGCAUUGCAGCCAACAUUACAAUAAUUCAAGCACCAGCUAAUGAACAACACAUGGAGCAUGUAGCUGGGCUUACUUUGCUUUGUAGAGCUAGUCACACUCUUAUUGUGAAGAAAGGUUGGAUCAGAUAAUCCUUAAGGUUCCUUCCAACCUGGUAUUCUGUGAUUCAAUACUCAACACUAUGGUUAUUGCAUUUCCAUAUGUAAAUAUUAACUCUGAUCUACAUGUGUGCACUUUUUCAACAGUUUGAUGAGUCACCUGAGGCAAUCAUGCAAUAAAGAGCUUGUUUACAAAUUCUGAGCAAGAUAGUAUUUAACAGGAAGCAAGUCACACAGCUGACUUUUACAUUCAAACCCGCCACAUGACAAACUAUAUUUCACAUUUCAGAUAUUAAACAACUCUGUCAUUCCUGGUUGUCUCUUGAGUCAAAUUUUAUGCCUUUAUGAGUGAAUUUUAUUUUCUUUCUGGCCUAGUAAGCUUUGGGCAGAAGGUGGCAGCCUGAAAAAUCAGCCGGCAUACUGUAGUUUUCUCUCCUUCAGAGAUCCAGAGGUCCAGUUUCAACCUGCUGAUUUUGUUAAAGCAAUGAAAUUAAAGGUUGACCAGGGAUAUAGGCUCUCAUACUUCACUAAUUAAGUGCCUUUAAUUACCGAAAAUUGAAUGGAGACGCUUGCUGUCGGAGGCAAUUUACUUGGUAACUGGUAGCUGUGGAACCUUCUUAGGCUUUUCUGUAAAGUAUCAAGUGUACAAUUCCUGUGCUCCUUAGAAAUAUGAAAUAUAUUUCUGUGUUGCAGAAGCAGAACAAGUAUGUUUCUUUACAAUAGCUCUAUGAGUCUCAGCUUACAGGGAACCGUAGGGCCUCCAUCACUGUUUUCAGCAGCCGCAAGUAAGGCUGAGAGGCUGCGGCAAGUCACGGUACAGGCAGAGCACUGUACAAUGGAUGAUGUGCUUCCAGAAUAUUUGUACUUCUUCUCUGCUGUUUCAUAGUGCCAGCUUUGGACACUGGUGCCCACCCUGCUGUCUGCUAGCUACUCAGACUGAUGCAUCAAACAAUAUUAUUUUCUACCAGUUUCCCUCAGUUCUGCAUGGGCAGAGGGUGCAAAGCUUUUAUGGACUAUUUGCCACUCACACCCUUCAGUGUGGAUUCUGGGCGGUAUCUUCCUGUUGAUGUCAAGGAAUAGGAACAAUUACUUAGGAAAGUACUGCCAACAGCAUACCAUUAGCUAUAAGUAAGCUGGGUAGCCUCCUGCAACAAACCACCCUGACCCUUUAAUUUAUGAGGCGUUAUUUUAGAUCGCUUAUGGUGUGCCAGGUGAAAAGAGCUGUGUGGAGCUCAGCACCAUUCACACUUGAUGAACACUUGGAUUAUACUUAUGCUGUUCUGCAUCCACAUUUCUGCCAUUUUCCUUAAGAAAGCUGGUAGCCAGGGAGUUUUUCCUUGGUGUGCAUGCAGCAGCAUUUUAGUAAGUGUAGCCUCGUAUUGUCUUUCAACUUCCAAAGUGACUCAGGAGUACCUGAGGUCUAUUACACAAUGCCAUCAGUGUAACAGCUAAUAUUUUCAACUGUUUGCCCUGCAGGAUCCCAGAGCAUUUUCCAAAAUAGUAUACAAGUGUCAUUUACUGUGCACGGUAAGAGACUUAUGAAAUAAGUAACAUCUGAACCUUACAGCUGAGUAAAUAUUCCACCCAUUCAAUAAAACCUAAAGUCACAGCCUACACAGGCUGUGUCUCAGUAAGAGUUGACGAAAGUUGGCAUUACCAGAGAAUAUAAAAUCUAAUGAAAUGAAAUUCGAUAGGUCUAUUAACAGCCAGAAAGAGCCCCAGGAAUAAGGUGUGUGAUGAAAUCUUAUGAUAAAAAAGCAGCUCACCUGUAUUCACUGAAGGUUUGAACUUUAGAAUAAAAACUUCAGUUGAAUUACUGUUCCCCCUAAGAUACCAAUAAAAUAAAAUGUUUGUCAUACCUAGAGAAAAAUAAAACUUUGCAACCACUUCUGACAAAAAUAAUUUCCAAUAUUAUUUGAAAAGAAAAUAUAACAUCAGUACUUGUUAUAUCCCAUUGCUGUCCUCUGAGAGCCAGCAUCUAACGACCUUAGCUUUUUUGCAAAUGUUGGCUUGCUCCCUUUGCAAUGGUUGUUAUCUCACAAUUCUGCAGAUCAGAACAGGAAAAGGCAAUGAUGAAGAGAUUAAUAAAGCUGAUCAAAAUUCACACAAUUAAUCAACAGCAGAGCUGAUAGGAGAAACAUCUUCAUUCCAGUUCAUCUACUGCAGCUGUAUUCAUCUACAUUUGUAAGGUAUAUCUAACACCAAGUUUAUCCUGCCAGGUUAACACAUACCAAAAGCGUCAGGUUUCAUGCAGCUGCCCUGCCAGAGGUGUGGGUUAUCCAGCAUGGUUACAUACUUGUUCUUCAGAGUAAUGAAGUUGAAUUUUAACAUUUACUUUGUAAAAAAUUUCAGCAGUAGCCAAUCAGUGAAUUGAAAAUCUGGACAGAAUAAGUUGGAGAAGAGUGGAUUGAAAAAAAGUAUCAGGACAGGAAAUGCAAAUCAGUAUUACAGUGCUGGCAGAGCUGAUAGGCACUCUGGCCGAAGGCAGCAGCUGGUCUCUCUGAAAGGCAGAUUGCAUGAUUAUCCCACAAAACUAGCAAAAGCCACUUCAUAUAUUUAUCUUUCUUGUAAGAAGGAGACUACUGACACUUAAAGUAACAAAAUGGCAUGAAGAUUUCUCUCCACUAGCCACCAAUAUUAAUUUCUGGCAACGGUAGCUAUUUGGUUCAUGUCAAUGGACAUUUUUAAACAUUUAAAGAUAUUGCAGUAGAGAUUUGAAACGUCCUUUUACAUAUGCAUGUUCUGAUUAAGAGUAUCUAGAACUGCAUGAAAGUUGUCUGCUUGUGACAACAGCCCUACUGUUUCAAGAGGUGAAAUGGUCAAAGGUUUUGUAUGUACUUUUAUGGCUAUACUGAUGUUGAUAUGGCUGGCUGCUAUAGAGAACUCAGAAAAAGCAAUUAAUGACUAUCCUUUAUGGAGUGGCUAUAGAAGAAACCUGGAAUGAUUAAAACCUGCUUUAUAAAUCCUGCUGCUCCAAGAUCUGUGCUGUCAUUAACAUGCUUUUGGCUUCUCAGUGGUUAAGCCGUAUCUAUGUGUCAGUUUUCACCAGUUCCCUCCCAUGGCAUCCCUAUUUCUGUUAUCACAUAUGAACAUGACUGUAGGAUUAACAGGAAAUAGAAACAUCAAAUGGAAAUAACAAUUUGUUUUAAAAUAUGUUUGUUAAAGAUUAUGUAAACUUUUCAUCCUUGAUGUCUCCAGUGACAAAGUAGCUAAGCUGCCUUCAACCCUUCCCAGGAGGCACCUCUUAGAGCUCAAACAAACAGUAAGUCUCAUUUGAACAUGAUACAAAUACGUGCCAUGUAGACUGUGUAAGAUUGUUUUGCUGCACUAACCAUGAUAGUGGGUGGGAUAAAAUAUUUUGCCACCUACCAGAUGUUUUGUGGCCAUCCUGCAAGGGUAAAUACAGUUGGGUGGAAUUGGUAAUUAAGUUUGAUUUAUUUUUGCUAAUGUCAGACUAGAUAUAUCUGUGUUUCUAGGUCAGUCUAUCUGUAAUAUCAGCUGCAGAAUGCAUGGGAAGAGAAGAGCACAAAAAGAGGUUCACCCAUUUUGAAUCCUUAUGUGAUAGGAGUCUUCACUUAAGUACUGUAGGCUUUUGGGCAUAACUCAAAUUAUGAAAGCACAUCUCCCUAGAUUCCAUGUGCAAAUGAAAAUGUCGUACUACCAUUUCAGAAAGGGUGAAUUUUAAUCUCAUAUGUGCAACAGCUUCACAUCCAAAUUUUGCUUCAGAAUUGAAAAAAGUUUGCAUACAGCAGAUAGCCUAUUGUUAGUACAAAUAAAAACAGUCAAACACAGACUUGCUUAGAAAGUAAAAGUGCGUCUUCUAGUCCUCUUUCAGCUAUGGCCAAAUCAGUAAUCGCUUUUGGUAGUUAUAAGGUCUGAAACCGAACAAUGCUUUUUGUGUUGCUAAAAGGCAUUGCACCAAGUCAGCUUAAUCUGGAAGAACUGGUAGAAGAGAAAGUUGCUUUAAACAUUGGUUAAAUACUUCAUCUAAGAACUAUUAGACUUUUCAAAACCAGUAACUAUUCAUUACCAAUGUUGAAAAAAAAAAUCGGGCUGAUUGUUAGAAAUGCUAUGAAGUCAUCACUUGCAUAUUAAUUCAAGAAAGAUGAAAGCUUAUUGCUGAAAGUCAGUUUCAAUCCUUCAUAUUAUGUAACAUAACAUUUUUCAAAAUUACUAGAGAAGUCUGAGUAACUUGGUUUUUCUAACUACAUUGAAUCUUAUAUUCCUUCUUGAAGGUUAGAAGUAAUUGAUUAUCCAAAGAAUCCCGAGUAAAUUAAUGAGAUAGCCAGUGCUGAAACCUGGCAACAGUUCAGUGACAAAAGCUUUGUUUCUCCCCACUGGCUGACAGUUUCCUGGUUACAGUGGGACACCAACAGAGCUCCCACCAAGUAGGAAUGCUGGAUGUUAGAAGUAAAACCUUGAACAACCUUGGCGUUUGGCGGAAAACCAACACAGACAGGCAUACUGGAGUAGCGUGCUCACAACAGCCCUUCGUUCCCAGCAAAAAGCCUGGUAUGUUUUGAACCAGCUGGAGUUUUUUCCAGGGAUAAUGGAGUUUUGUAGGGAAGAGAGUCCUGAAAACAUCUAUCACUAUAGCAAAGCCCAUUUCCAGAGUUGCAAGUACAGAGUUGAAGGAGAAGGGCUUGUUUUAUUUCCUGCUGGUGGAAGUGAAGGCUGUAUUUAUUUUCUGGGAGAUACUUUAUGACUGUGGGGAGGUUAUUGUAUUUUUAUGAGAUACAAAGUCAUGUUUUAAACUUGUUUGUUAGCCACAGUCUUUGCUUUGUGCUAGGGUUGCUAGAAACAGGAAUGAAAUUCAGCCAAAGGCCCUGCAUAUAACUUUUAAAUUUCUAGGUAGGAUACAGUGUCUGGUUUAUCUGGCACUCGCUAGUAGGCAGAUCCUUUUUCUUAAUGUACUUGCUAAUGGAGGGAAAAACUGGUCGUUCAAGUUACAUGUGGGACAUGUGAUUUGAGAAUGGGCUGAUAAGUAAAUGGUACUGAUCAACUGAUUUUGUUUGCUUAUUAGCUGUUUUUCCAUUUGUGCCGAAUACUGGUAGAUGCAAAAACAAUGAAAUGCCCUCGGGAAAUUUCAAAUUGUAGCUAUUGAUGUAAUAAUAAGUUCACUGAAAAUAGUAAAAAGCAAAAUAAAAUAAUUAAGCUUAAUGAAAACUUAAUUGAAUAAAAUGUGUUUGUGUUGUCUGGUUUUGGUUUACGGAAGUAUUUAUGUCCAGAACUCAGCAGUUUCAUGUGACAUGCUGGGCCGGCGCUACAGGUUGUCUUUCUCUGGCAGAUCUUUUAUUAGCUGAUCAUCCUUUGAAAAUGUGUGCAUAAACCAUUUGCAAAGACAAUGCUGAGAAAGAGGACAGCUGGGUUCAUUACUUGAAAAGGUGAUAGCAUUUUCCUUAUAAUCACAGAUAAACUGUUCCAUGUUUCUAUUUCAGGCUGUAGACCAGACCAGGCUGUUCUUGAACGUAAGUUUACCUUCACAGGAAAUCCAUUGUUUGGAAAGCUAAUAGAACCACCACACCCUGUGCGCACACAGAUGGGGCUCUCCGAUAAGUUCUUGUUCUUCAACAGACAUGAAUACCUUCAAAUUAUCUGAUAACGCUAUUGUUAAAGUGCCAAUGCUGAAAAUCCUACAAGCAGUGAUACCUUUAUUUAAAUUAAUUUAUUGGGGGAGGGAACUUGAUCUGAGCAAGGAAGAAAACUAGUAAGUAGGAACUGUGGUGUCCAGACCAAUCAAAGACAAAUCAUCAAUCUGGAAUAAAUCACUGUAAAUUUGCAAUAAUCCCAAAUUCAAGGGCCGUGUUCUUUUCAAAGGAAAAGAGUGACCUGGUAUACAAAAAUACUGACAAUCCAGAAGCUUUAUUUAUCUGCCCGUGGGUGUAUACAAGCAAAAAUCUACUCAGAAGAAACAUUGUGGCAUAGUUAAGUGCUCAAUAAUAAUCACCACUUUCCCCUUCCCUCUAGUGGUAGAAAUAGGAGCUCAGUAAAGCUAGGAAAUUUUUAUGCAAAAAUGUAUUGAUGAUGAACAAGCAUGUCUCCUUCAUAGAGGGAAAUAGUGUCUAGAAGAGAGAAUUAAUACAGCUUUACUGUACUCUGCCAAAAAUGUAGACACCAGAACUCUUUUGAGUAUCAUGCAUUCAGUUAUUGUAAAAUAAUUCUGAGCAAGGAAACCCUCAAAUACUGUAGCAAUUAACAUCUCAGUAAUACCACAUUAACAUAUUUAGAUGUUUGUAAUCACUACUCAGCUCUAGAAAUGCUGCCUCUCCUAGUCUUUUACAGCAGAAAAAUGAUGAGUUUGCCUGUCUGUGUGGAUGUAUUAGCUUUUCCAGGAGUAAGAAAUGUAUGGAGACAAUCUGAAACAUGAGAGAGAAGACUUCCUUCUUGUAGUCUCCAUAUACACCUAGACCAGAAAUUUCAUUUCAGAUUAAGUCCUACUGAAAUAGUAGAUCAUAUGCAAUAGAUUCAGCAACUUUGGGAGAUUUAUUUGGAAAACAUAGUAGCAAAACUCGAUUUGUUUAUAUGACAGUUCUGAGUGUGUGAAAAAUCUGAUUUUUAAAGUUAUAGUCUCCCUUUGUUUCUUCUACAAAAAGCCUUGUUAAAUACAAGUAGAUUUUCAGAUGAAAACCUAAAGGCACAUUCCUACCACCAGCGUAAUCCUGACAAAAAUGAAACUCUGACUCCAAAACUUAAGGCACUCGAAAGAAAAGGGACAAACCUUUGAAAAUGCUUGUCCAAAUGGCCAACAGUUUAUGAAGUCAAGUAUUUCUGUUAUAAGCACCUGAAAUGGGAUGUCAAAGUGGGAAGUGCUGGGCCGACUUCAGGUGGCAGAGCCCACACUGUGGUCAGCCCAGCUUGUAAUGCAAGUUGCACUGUAGGAUUUUAAUCUUGAAGCAGAUCUACUGUGUAGAGGUUUGGAUGAUCCAAAACACACUUUUUGGAUAAUCUGUAUUUUACUCACUCACAUGAAGGGACAAAUGAUUGUGUUUGCAUAGCUGUACUACUUCUGGUUCAAUUUUAAAAAAUAGACAUUGCCCCUUUUGUCUUUGCAUUUACAGGACUGUCUUUCAAAUAUUAUGAAUGUUUCAUCUCUGUCCUGCUGAGGUGCACAGGCUGCUGCUGUGAUAGUGAAGCUGUCCCUGCUUCACUCACCCAGAAGUCAUACCAAUGUGCAGCAAUAUUUUCCACAUAAUCACAAGCAUCUCUGACGUUUAUUGAACAUCCACAAUGUGAUUUUUUGAUUACAUGACCUGCCCAGCUCAUUUUAAUAGUGUUUGCACUUUGCUCCUUUUGACCUUUAUGUCUUCAACGUGCUGUAAAACCAGUGUGUGAAGAGAAACAAAAUGGUAUGCCACAUCAAUCCCUGUCAGAACUCAAAGUGAAGUGUUGUAAAAGUGGAAGCGUCAAGAAAGAAUAAGUUUACACUGAUUUAUAUAAACACUUUAUUCAAAUGCUUUGGAUACAGAUAAACAGUCCUUAUGCAAUAUUUGUUAUGGUUUCACCUGCUUCAAGCUGGAAACUGAAAGUGUUUUGAUUAAUGGGACAGAAAAGUUUGUUGAGUUACUCUACAGCUGCAAGUACUUAUGCUGAAGCGCUAUCUUACAUCUUGUAACAGCAAUCCGUCCCAGUAAUUCAAUUUUUUUUUCUUGUUUUGUUUUGGUUCUUUUUUCCAUAGAGGAGGAACCAUUACUUUUACUGAACUUACAAUGACCGGCUGGCACUUCCUGGAAAAUGAAAAGUACAGAUUUUGGUGUUAUUCUUUAAUGGACACCAAUGUAAGUCUCAGUUAAAAUAUUUUUAAAACUUUUUUAUAACAUGAAUAACUCAUGUUAUUUUCAAUUAUUUGAAAUUCUGUUUUACCUGACACUGAGACUUAACAAGUGCAACAUCGCAUUUCAAAACACUGGAAGAAACAGGAAAAAUUCUGAGGGCUAGAAAAGAAACAUUUGAUGGACCCUUAAAAACAUUCUUUAGAAUGUAAGAAAUUUGGUUUUAUAUUACAUAUUUGAUAACAUUAGGCAUUUUAAAAAAAGUUAUAUUCAACUGUGGCAGUUUCUGUAAUUUCCCUGUUGAUCGUGGCUUCAUUUUCUUUUAACCUUAGCGACAUGUUUUCUUCAGUUCUCACACUGCAUUUCUGCAGAUAAAAGCAUACAGCUUUCCUGACUGGUACAGUGUCUGGGUACUCAUAACAGGCUGACUUCUAAAUGCAGGAUAAAUGAACUGAUUUGGAUGUCUAUAUAUUUCCCAGCUCAUCCUCCUCCCCAAUAUGUACAGUCUUU